rnacentral:rRNA from 1 species
GAUGAACGCUGACAGAAUGCUUAACACAUGCAAGUCAACUGUGGCGGACGGGUGAGUAACGCGUAGAGAACUUGCCUCACAGCUGGGGACAACCUUUUGAAACGAAUGCAAAUACCUGAACCUGUGAGAGAGCUUUGCGUCCCAUUAGCUAGUUGGAGAGGUAACGGCGCACCAAGGCGAUGAUGGGUAGCCGGCCUGAGAGGGUGAUCGGGCACAAGGGGACUGGGACACGGCCCGUAGUCCUACGGGAGGCAGCAGUGGGGAAUAUUGGACAAUGGACCAAAGUGUGAUCCAGCAAUUCUGUGUGAACGAUGAAUUUUUCGGAAUGUAAAGUGCUUUCAGAUGGGAAGCGGUACCAACAGAAGAAGUGACGGCUAAAUACGUGCCAGCAGCCGCGGUAAUAC